rnacentral:rRNA from 1 species
UCGAACGGUUAAAGCACCUUCGGGUGUGUAUAGAGUGGCGAACGGCUGAGUAACACGUGGGCAACCUGCCCUUUGCAUCGGGACAGCCUCGGGAAACCGUGGUUAAUACCGGAUACUCCAUCUUUCUCACAUGAAAAAGAUGGGAAAGUGUUUAGCGGCAAGGGAUGGGCCCGCGCCCUGUUAGCUUGUUGGUGGGGUAAAAGCCUACCAAGGCAAUGAUGGGUAGCCGGGUUGAGAGACCGACCGGCCAGAUUGGGACUGAGACACGGCCCAGACUCCUACGGGAGGCAGCAGUGGGGAAUCUUGCACAAUGGGCGAAAGCCUGAUGCAGCGACGCCGCGUGCGGGAUGAAGGCCUUCGGGUUGUAAACCGCUUUCAGCAGGGACGAGGCGAAAGUGACGGUACCUGUAGAAGAAGCCCCGGCUAACUACGUGCCAGCAGCCGCGGUAAUACGUAGGGGGCAAGCGUUAUCCGGAUUCAUUGGGCGUAAAGCGCGCGUAGGCUGCCCAGUAGGUCGAGAGUUAAAUCCGGGGGCUCAACCCCCGUCCGCUCCCGACACCGCUGGGCUUCGAGUCUGGUAGGGGAAGGUGGAAUUCCCAGUGUAGCGGUGGAAUGCGCAGAUAUUGGGAAGAACACCGGUGGCGAAGGCGGCCUUCUGGGCCAUGACUGGCGCUGAGGCGCGAAAGCUAGGGGAGCGAAUAGGAUU